rnacentral:tRNA from 1 species
CAAAAUAGAGCAUGAAUUAUGCCUCCCUCUUACACUGGGAAGAUAACGUAAGUUUAUUUUGA